rnacentral:lncRNA from 1 species
AUUGCCUUGACCAUCCCAGUAUAGCUGAAGAGGGGUGUAUGUGGUUGGGGGGAGGGGUGUUGUGUGUCUUGGCCUUCCUGAAGUUCUCUUUCUCUCCAGGGCACUUGAGAGGCUGGACAGGGAUAAACUGCUCUUCAAUAAUAGGCUGGAUGUGCAGUCUUGAAGGAAUCCUACGCUUCAUGAAUGAGGAUUUGACAUCUGGCAGAGGUCUUUAUGAACACAUUUAUGAUCAUCCUUCAAAGCAACCACAUGAAAUGGGCCAGGGGCUUGUUCUCUUUUAGCAGACAGACGGGUUGAGUCACCACAAGAUGCUGUUAUGGUUUAAAUGUGUGGAGCUAUAUAUAUACAUACACACAUACACAUGUAUAUAUCAAUCAAGCUAUACUUAUCCCCAAUAACAGAGAGGAAAAAUAUAUUAUUAGAAUAAGAGCCGCAUAUUUUGGAAAACUUACCAUGUGCCA